rnacentral:lncRNA from 1 species
GUGAUGGAACAAUCUCCAGGGCCCGAUAAGCCACCCUGACCUGGGGAGGUUGGAAACGUAACUCCUGUCGGAGUUCCAGCCCCCACGUGGGUGUGAGCAAGCAGGCAGCGCACUGCGGCUUGGGACCAUCUGGGCUGGAAUUGCAGCACCAGCGCUCUCUAGCUCUGCAACUGUGGAACUUCCUGCUAAUAUUGAGAAGUGAGCUUCACUGCUACCACUUGCAUGCGUGCUCAAUGUGCUUUGGAGGAUCAAAGACACACAGUUUCCCACUGUUUGACCAACAUGAAAACUGAAUGGCAGUUGGCCUCUGAGCACCCCUAAGCUAUGUUCGGCCUUUGUACUGAGAGAGGAAGUUGCAUCUUUGGGUGGACACAGCCUGUGGCUCCUGUUGUACAAAGGGCCAGGCCCAGGAGAAGAAUGGAUUGGAGAAGGGACACCAUGUUUCACAGCUGUGACAUUUGCCAUCGGGCCUCAGGACACCCAAUGGCAGAGGUACCGUUACUGACUUUUACAUUGAUUGGUGCGUUAGUGUUCUUGGAUGUUCCUCCCCCAGCAUCCUCCAAUGCAUGUCCAUCACUGUGCGUCCUGCUUCUGCAGCCAUCCGCUCUUCUCUCUCAGUCUCCGGAACUGCCCUGCCCUCCCUGUGCAGACUCUAAAUGUCAGGGUGUCUUAGCAUCCCCCACACAGUUCAUGUGGAUGAAGUGA